ensembl:lncRNA
GGACUGGACUCUCUAUCCAUCCAUUCUCUUCCACUUAUCCUUAUCAUGGUCGCAUGGCGUGCUGGAGCUGAUCCCAGCUAGCAUAGGGCGAGUGCUAGGCGACACGCUGGACAGGUUCCCACCCUGUCACAGGGCUAACACAGAGAGACAGACAACCAUUUGCACUCACAUCACAAGUAGAGGUAAUUUAGGACCAAGCAUUAAGCCAACCCCACUAACUGCAUGUCGUUGGACUGUGUUCUUAGUUAAGGUUUUUUUAUUUUUAUUCUUGUUUUUGCUUUUUGUAAGAAUUUAUAUUUGAAGCCUCAUAGUUUCCUGAUAGAUUGUUUUCUGUGUUUUCCUCUGUUUCCCCGUUCCCACUGUCUGGUUGUAUUUUAUUCUGGAUCUCUGUUUCUGUUUUUGCUUCCUGUCUUAUUUUGAAACUCUCUUGUCCUGUGCGUUAUGUUCAAUAUUGCUUCCUAUGUCGUUAGUCUGAAUUAGUUCACCUAUGUAAUGGUAAUGUCUGAUUUAAAAAAAAUGUGUGAAAUAUUGUUGCUGCAGUCUCUUUUACUGUCAUAAGUAACCAGAUUACACUGAUUUAGUUUAGGUGUGCUAACUUCUAACUAACUUCUCUCCCCUGCGAUCCAGUGUGAGAUGUUGACUAUGAUCGUAAGUUACUUUUUAUGUCCUCCUGUAUUGCUGAACUUCAACAGCUCUUUGGUUUUUGUGAAUCUUUCAAGUGCUUUGUAAAUAAAGUUGUAUUGUAUGAUAUGGUUUUCCAUUACAACUGAGUACCACAUCAAUGUGGGCGGGGUCCUUUUGAUGUCAUUUGUGUGCAACACAAACCCAACAAUCGAGAUGAUGACUGCUGUCUAUGUUUUUUUUUUUUGUCAGACUAGAGAUGAAGAGAGCCAGAGAAGGCAGUGAGCAGCAAAACAAAACACUCUGGAAAAAUACAGGAGCAUUCAUGAAGCUGUAGAACAAUGUUGUGCUAGAACAGGACCAACAAGAUACCAACUAGAUGAUGUAUGAGGGUAAUCUAAAG